rnacentral:rRNA from 1 species
CGUGUAGGCGGCUUGGUAAGUCCGGUGUGAAACCUUGGGGCUCAACCCCAAGCCUGCACUGGAUACUGCCUCGCUUGAGUCCGGGAGGGGAGAGCGGAAUUCCCAGUGUAGCGGUGAAAUGCGCAGAUAUUAGGAAGAACACCGGUGGCGAAGGCGGCUCUCUGGAACGAUACUGACGCUGAGACGCGAAAGCGUGGGGAGCGAACA